UCCUGCUGGCUCAGAUGAUAAAGAAUCUGCCUGCAAUGCAGAAGACCUGGGUUUGAUUCCUAGGCCAGGAA
rnacentral:tRNA from 1 species